UACGUAGGGUGCGAGCGUUGUCCGGAAUUAUUGGGCGUAAAGAGCUUGUAGGCGGUCUGUCGCGUCUGCUGUGAAAAUCCGGGGCUCAACCCCGGACUUGCAGUGGGUACGGGCAGACUAGAGGUGUGGUAAGGGGAGACUGGAAUUCCUGGUGUAGCGGUGAAAUGCGCAGAGUAUCAGGAGGAACACCGAUGGGCGAA
rnacentral:rRNA from 1 species